rnacentral:rRNA from 1 species
AUUGAACGCUGGCGGCAUGCCUUACACAUGCAAGUCGAACGGUAGAGGGGGCAACCCCUCGAGAGUGGCGAACGGGUGAGUAAUAUAUCGGAACGUGCCCAGUCGUGGGGGAUAACGUAGCGAAAGUUACGCUAAUACCGCAUACGAUCUAAGGAUGAAAGCGGGGGAUCGCAAGACCUCGCGCGAUUGGAGCGGCCGAUAUCAGAUUAGGUAGGUUGGUGGGGUAAAGGCUCACCAAGCCAACGAUCUGUAGCUGGUCUGAGAGGACGACCAGCCACACGGGAACUGAGACACGGUCCAGAAUCCUACGGGAGGCAGCAGUGGGGAAUUUUGGACAAUGGACGCAAGUCUGAUCCAGCCAUUCCGCGUGCAGGAUGAAGGCCCUCGGGUUGUAAACUGCUUUUGUACGGAACGAAAAGGUCUCUCUUAAUACGGGGGGCUCAUGACGGUACCGUAAGAAUAAGCACCGGCUAACUACGUGCCAGCAGCCGCCGUAA